rnacentral:rRNA from 1 species
ACCGUGAUAGGGGACACCGAGUGCCAGCAUCAUAUGCUGGCUGUCCAGAUGUGUAAAAUACAUCUGUUAGCAAGGGCCGGGCAAGACCGGUGCCAGCCGCCGCGGUAACACCGGCGGCCCGAGUGGUGAUCGUGAUUAUUGGGUCUAAAGGGUCCGUAGCCGGUUUGGUCAGUCCUCCGGGAAAUCUGAUGGCUCAACCAUUAGGCUUUCGGGGGAUACUGCCAGGCUUGGAACCGGGAGAGGUAAGAGGUACUACAGGGGUAGGAGUGAAAC